rnacentral:rRNA from 1 species
UACAGAGACUGCAAGCGUUAUUCGGAUUCACUGGGCGUAAAGGGUGCGCAGGCGGCCAAGUGUGUGAGGCGUGAAAGCCCGGGGCUUAACCCCGGAAUUGCACCUCAAACUACAUGGCUAGAGCAUUGGAGAGGGUAGCGGAAUUCACGGUGUAGCAGUGAAAUGCGUAGAUAUCGUGAGGAACACCAGAGGCGAAGGCGGCUACCUGGACAAUUGCUGACGCUCAGGCACGAAGGCGUGGGGAGCGAACGGG